GUAGGAUAGAGGCCUACCAUGGUGGUAACGGGUAACGGGGUGUUAGGGCACGACACCGGAGAGGGAGCCUGAGAAACGGCUACCACAUCCAAGGAUGGCAGCAGGCGCGCAAAUUACCCAAUCCCGACACGGGGAGGCAGUGACAAUAAAUAACAAUACGGGGUUCUUUAGGAUCUCGUAAUUGGAAUGAGUACAAUUUAAAUCUCUUAACGAGGAACAAUUGGAGGGCAAGUCUGGUGCCAGCAGCCGCGGUAAUUCCAGCUCCAAUAGCGUAUAUUAAAGUUGUUGCAGUUAAAAAGCUCGUAGUUGAAUUUCGGGGUUAGUAGGUUGGUCAUGCCUCUGGUAUGUACUGGUCUCACUGAUUCCUCCUUCCUGAUGAACUUUAAUGCCAUUAAUUUGGUGUUUUGGGGAAUUUGGACUGUUACUUUGAAAAAAUUAGAGUGUUUAAAGCAAGCUAACGCUUGAAUACAUUAGCAUGGAAUAAUGAAAUAGGACGUUUGACCCUAUUUUGUUGGUUUCUAGGAUUGACGUAAUGAUUAAUAGGGAUAGUUGGGGGCAUUAGUAUUCAAUUGUCAGAGGUGAAAUUCUUGGAUUUAUUGAAGACUAACUACUGCGAAAGCAUUUGCCAAGGAUGUUUUCAUUAAUCAAGAACGAAAGUUAGGGGAUCGAAGACGAUCAGAUACCGUCGUAGUCUUAACCAUAAACUAUGCCGACUAGGGAUCGGAUGAUGUUAAUUUUUUAAUGACUCAUUCGGCGCCUUACGGGAAACCAA
rnacentral:rRNA from 1 species